UCUGGGUCAAUGAUGUUAUAGUAAAUCUGCGUUAUCUAUCUGUAAGUCCCAAAAGGAUUGAAGAUGACUUAACCUACUGAGGCCCUGA